rnacentral:rRNA from 1 species
CGAACGCUGGCGGCAGGCCUAAUACAUGCAAGUCGAACGGCUCUUCGGAGCAGUGGCGGACGGGUGAGUAACGCGUGGGAAUGUGCCCUUAGGUACGGAACAACACAGGGAAACUUGUGCUAAUACCGUAUGUGCCCUUCGGGGGAAAGAUUUAUCGCCUUUGGAGCAGCCCGCGUUGGAUUAGGUAGUUGGUGAGGUAAAGGCUCACCAAGCCGACGAUCCAUAGCUGGUCUGAGAGGAUGACCAGCCACACUGGGACUGAGACACGGCCCAGACUCCUACGGGAGGCAGCAGUAGGGAAUCUUGCGCAAUGGGCGAAAGCCUGACGCAGCCAUGCCGCGUGUAUGAUGAAGGUCUUAGGAUUGUAAAAUACUUUCACCGGGGAAGAUAAUGACGGUACCCGGAGAAGAAGCCCCGGCUAACUUCGUGCCAGCCGCCGCGGUAAGAC